CCUAGCCCCCAAACCCUUGAAUUCCUUUACUUUGAUCACGAUCCACCAUGGUUUUUGGCAUCAAGGAUGAAGAACAAGGGAGGAUUAAUGUUUUUACCCGAUUGGAACUUGGAUUUGCGAAGGCUUCUUUCCAAGCUCACUCUUUUGCUUGAUUAUUGAGGACACGCUUCGGGAGGAAUAAAUGCUCCACCAAUGCACUGCACUCAACCUGGAGAUCAACCUUCACUUGUGGCUUUUGUUACCCAGUUGUCAAACCCUGAGUAUCUAAGCUCUUAGAUGUUGAUCGUUCAAGUCAUGGAGUUUUGCUAAGUUUUAAUUUGUACCCUAAAUGUCUGUUAAGAUCGGCGUAUAUGUAUAUGUACUUAGCUAUCUUCAGGUGCAUGUCACUGUAUAUUUAUCUGCAUUAUGU